GGAAACAGUGAGGUCACCUCGGCAGAUUCUUCUUAGCCUCUCUGUGCAGCAUCCUUCCCUUCCUGGACUGGGCAGGGCUCUAUCUGAAACAAGGGUCUCAUGACUACAGUCAAGUGUCUGUCAGGAAAACAGACAUCCAGGUGCCACUCAGAGAGCCUGGCAGCCCAGUGGGCUGGAAGACACCCACUAGAAGACACCCCAGGCUCCCAAAGUGAGCCCUCCUACAGCUGGUGGCCAUUGGUGGAAGAGCAGCUGGGCCAGCUCAGCCGUGGAAACCAUCCCAGUGACCACAUUGAACCACUUCAAACAGUAGCUCUCAAGUGCUUCUAAUGGAAAAUGACUGUAAAGGAGCUUGUGGACAUCCUUGGACCCCUGGAGGAAGCACUGAUACCUCUCCUACUUCUCAUGGGCUGGAUCCAGUGCCUUGCUUUUGAGGAGAAUGAGAGAGGAGCCUAGAUUAUAAAAGGCAUUGAGGACCCUCCUAUGUCCUGUGUGGUGGAACGCCUUCUCUGGAGAACACCAGCUUCCUGGUGGAAGGUUCCAUGUGAUGAGGAUCUGAGACACCAGAUCAGUUGUCUUUUUUUGGCGCAUCUCCCUCAUAUAGAUGUUUCACCUUAAGUUUCUUCUCUUUUUGGCCAUAUUGAGAAUUUAACUCAGUUCCUCAAGCAUGCUAAGCAAGUCACCUACUCCUGAGCUACAUCACCAGCACUUUGCUUGCUUUUUCUCAUUUUUACUUUUAUUUGCACAGACUUGCAGCACAUAAUGUUUACACAAUGUGGGGAAUUGGUACAGGUACAUAGCACAUAGCAAUUUUUAAAAUCAUUUUCCUCUCUUCUGCCACCUCUAUCUCUUAAUCCCCUUCCUGUUGGAAGAAGCUCUAUCUCCCUAUGCCCUAUUAUUUAUGUUUGUGUUUCUUUGCUCUUUAUUCAUAUUUGAGUUUCUCAUAUGAAUACACUAUCUUGAGGGCAGAUACUCCAGCUCCCAUCAAGUCUUCAGUGACUACAAUCCUGUCUGAAGUCUUGACUGCAACCUCUGGGGAGAUCCCAAUAUAAAACCAUCCAGCAAGCGAAAUUCCUUGUGCACAGAAAAUGUGUGACAUAAUAAAUCCAUCACAGUUCUAAAUCAAGGCAACAAUAACAGUGAUACCAACCAAAAGCCGAAUAAAAGGAGGCUGAACACUCUUCAAGAACAUGCUACAGUGGAGACGAAUUUAUCCACUUCCCUAGAGGAACUUGGCAUCCUCACAGGUACCCUAAGAUGAGACACAUGGCUGACGAUGUUGGAGUGCAGGUGGAAAUGAGUGGCCUGUCUUUCAUGGCAUCACCACUGAGCCACAUUUGUGGAGAUGAGAAGCCUGGUCAUCACAUGGAGGCCCUGUCACUCCUGCAGUUUCUGUGUCCCUCUUGCUGCCCCCACAACCCUCUUGGACAGACCCCGGGGAAGAACAACAGCAAGAGGAAUUACUCAAGUUGUUUCUCUUAGGAAAAAAAAAAUGGACCGAGCCCAUAAGGUUGAAUUUGUAUAAAUUAAAUGGUUGCUAGAG